rnacentral:rRNA from 1 species
UACGGGGGGGGCAAGCGUUGUUCGGAAUUACUGGGCGUAAAGGGCUCGUAGGCGGCCAACUAAGUCAGACGUGAAAUCCCUCGGCUUAACCGGGGAACUGCGUCUGAUACUGGAUGGCUUGAGGUUGGGAGAGGGAUGCGGAAUUCCAGGUGUAGCGGUGAAAUGCGUAGAUAUCAGGAGGAACACCGGUGGCGAAGGCGGGUCUCUGGGCCGAUAUUGACGCUGAGGAGCGAAAGCGUGGGGAGCGAACAGG